AUGGUAACUGUACAUGGAUUUGCCAAUGGUACUAAUGAUGGCACUGCCAACAGGAAGAUUAAGCGCCUUUUUAACUCAUCAGAGAGGAAGAACCCCACCAAUUUCCAAUUUGAGCGUCAUGUAGCUCGUCUUGAAUCUAGACAGCAGCAGCAACCCAGGCGGUGUAUCUUCACGACGAUCUUACCGAUUGAGUUCUUCCACACCUCAUCUGAACCUACAUCUCCAGAAGAUAGCCUUGGCCCGUCAUCCUCCUCGCCAUCAAUUAUUUUCUUGCAUUUUAGUGUGGCAGAUGAACCUCUCAGAAAAUAUUCAUCUAAUCAAAGGCUGCUGGCAGAGCGAUCCACAUCAUCCAAUAGUAUGUCCAAUUCAGGUUUCUCAGACAAUACCUCUACCAAGACAAGGGUGGAUGCAAGGCAUACUACAAGAAGGAAGAGCAAAAAGAAAAACAAGAAGCAGAAGAAACACUUCAAAAAGCCAGCUGAUGGAUCUGAAAUUACAUGCGCAGAGAGCAACGGCUCUACCCCUUCAGUCGAUAUGGUUGAUUCUUGUGAAGGUUCGACACUUUCACCUAAGCAUGUUGGUGAUAUACUGUUUGAGGAAACCUUUUCUCCUAGUUCUUCGGUGAAAGAAGCCUCUGAAAAGGCUCCUGACAGUGAAAAUGAUAAUGAGUACAAUGGCUGUUCAGUUGCUUCUGUUUCAAGUGCGUCUUACUCUGAUGAGACAGAACUGUCUAGACCAACUACAUCAGGCCUGGAAUUGUUUGGACAAUGUAACAGCAGUGACUGCAGAUGCUUGGAUGAUACUCCAAAUUGUGACCUGAUGGAUUCAUCUCAAGAGCUUCAUUAUGCUAGCAGGAGUGGGAACUGUAGUGAUAUGACCAAGGCACUGUUCAGAAAUGAUUGUGUACAUGAUCCAUGUGAAACAGCAGAAUUUUGCAGCUCUAGUGAUGGAGUUGAUGAUAGUUGGCUAGAGAAUUCCAACUGCAGUAGUAGCUUUUGUUCUGAAAAUGGCAGCAGAGGCAGUGAUUUUCAUCUAGUAAUUUCGAGAAAGAGAGCCAGAAAAGAGAGGAAAAUGUCAAUGUGGAAGAGCUUUAAUGGGGAGCAUGCAUCUGCUGUUACGCAUGGCCCAAAUGAAAAAUAUACUGGCCGCUCUUCUAGGCAGAUGAUUAAGGAACUCAACACUAAGGAGUGGUCACAUAGACCAGAUCAUGUUGGUAGCAUACAGCCUCAGCAUGGGGUUGCGUUGAAACGCUCCAUCAAGAAUUUCAUCCAUAGGAGGAGUAACGAAGUUCCACUUCAGUUCUUUGAAUCAGGAGCAAGUCACAAUCAUUUUACAAGUCCAAAAGAAAACAUCAAUAGCAAAUCAAAUGGUGAUUUUGACAAAGAGCAGAACAUUGAUUUAAACAAAAGGCUACCCAAUGCUGUGUACUGCAGUGAGUCAAGUUCUUGUGAGAUGUUAUCAAAUUCAGCUUCUGAACCUACAACUUCCGAGUCUGCGCAGGACAACUGUACUUCAGAAUCUGGUGAAUCAACAGAUCAUAUUGUAGGAGAUUUUCCCAUGCAGAAAACAGGAUUACAAGGUUCAUUCCAAGCCAAUGAUGUGACAGGUUCUGGACCACCAUCACCUGAUCCUAAGUCCACUCAGACUGACUUAGUGAUUGGAUGCGGUGUAACUCCUUUUGUUGAAGGGAAUCACAGAUUAGGAAAGUUUUGCAGUUCUGAAAUGCAUCUAAUUGAGAUGAUCAAGGUUGUUAAUGAUGCCUAUGAGGUGCAAGUUGCUGCAGAUGCCUACAUGUCUGCUGGUUAUCCGAUUACUGAUCUCGAGACAUUUAUAUACUCUGCAACUCCAGUCAUUGGUCAUGUUCCUUGUGUGAAAAACAGAAACUGUUCACAGGAUCAAGUUGUCAGGAACUCAGCUUAUCAGCAGUACAUGUCUAAUAUUAACCUAAGGAAUAUAUGGGAAUGGUAUGAAGAGCCAGGGUGCUAUGGGUUGGAAGUAAGAGAUCUCAAUGAUCUCAGUUCCUUGACAUCACACCACAAGAGUUCAGAGUUCUGUGCAUAUUUUGUACCUUACCUGUCUGCUAUUCAGUUGUUUGGGUGGUCUACGAAGAAUAUGGAUAAUGGUUUUGAUGUACAAGAGGGACAUUUGUUGGGGGCAUCGAAUACCACAAGCGUUUUGAGUUCUCAACCUGUGCCUGCGAAACUGCAUAAACCAUUUGAGCAAAGUAACACAUCCUUUUCAGAAUCAUCUUCUUCUGCGCAUGCUCAUGGAGAACUCAUUUUUGAAUACUUCGAAACAGAGCAGCCUUCUUUUCGACCUCCGUUGUUUGAAAAAAUCAAGGAGCUUAGCUGCCUAAAUGUAUCUGGUGACUCUGAAAAGCUACAAAAUGUGAAAUUACGUGAGCUGCAUCCGGCUUCUUGGUACUGUGUUGCUUGGUAUCCUGUUUAUCGCGUACCUCAUGGGAACUUCCGUGCAUCAUUCUUGACAUACCAUUCACUGGGUAAACUGGUUCCACAAAUAUGCUCCCCAGAUUCUAGUGGUGGUCAGGACACCCGAAUAGUUUGCCCGGCUGUUGGUAUGCAGAGUUACAAUGACAAGGGUGAGCAAUGGUUUGAGCUGAGAUGUCGAGAUUCCUCGAAGCCCAGUUGCGCUGAAGUUGUGGAGGAGAGGCUGAGGACACUGAAGCGAGGUGCAUUCGCGAUGGCAAGGGCUGUCAUUCCUAGGGGAUCCGAGGAGUCGUCUGCGAACCACCAUCCAGAUUAUGAGUUUUUCCUGUCCCGGUCUACCUAG
rnacentral:rRNA from 1 species